GACGGGAAGAGGAAGUUCAGAUUAGCUAAGAGCAGUGGGCAUAGGAACAUGGAGGAAGACAUAGGCCCUCUGUUCCAUCGUUUAGCGUUGGAGGCAGGAGUACUAUUUUGACUUUCCCGAUGCCUCCUAUGCCUACUGUUCUUAGGUAUUCUUUCCUCUUCCUUUAAACU
rnacentral:pre_miRNA from 1 species